rnacentral:siRNA from 1 species
CACCACGAGGCGCUGUCUAC